UCAUGAACCCAUUUGACAGAUGAAGAAAUUGAGGAUCAGAAGUUAAAACUCAGCCAAGUCAUAAAUAUGAAAAAUAAGAUCUAAUUAUCUCUGCUAGUUACCUUUACAUCAUAAACACAUUUUUUCUUUUUUUUAUGUCUCUCUUCCUCUAAUUUUUCAUAUUUUCUCUUCCACUUUUACUGAGAUACAGUUGACAUACAGCACUGUAUAAGUUUAAGGUGCUUCGAUGUAAUAUAUCAUGAAAUAAUGACACAAUUAGUGAACAUCCAUCGUCUCAUAUAGAUAAAAAUUAAAGGAAUAAAAAAAAUUUUGUGAUGAGAACUCAUAGGAUUUAUUUACUCUCCUAUCAACUGUCAUGUAGAAUAUAUCACAGUUGUUAAUUCAUCACGGUGUAUAUUGCAUCCCUGGUAGCUAUUUCUCUUAAAACUGGAAGUUUGUACCUUUUGACCACCUUCAUUUAAAUCUUCCUUCCCUGUCCAACACACUGUUUUCCUGUUUUAGUUCUAGGUCUCUGAAAAUAUGAAUCCCAGAGAGAAUGUUUUGUGGCCUUGGUAGUUGUUAAUAGCCCGCCUGGUCAUUUUCACAUGAGUGGAGAUGGGCUUUUAUUCUUUCAUUACUUAAGUCAUGCUGUUUCUUGAAUCUGAGACUGUGGUUGGCUCGUACCAGGUUUCUGGUUUUUACACCAUUACCAAAUCUGCCAAAGAUUGGCGUUAAUGAGUUUGACCCAUCAUGGCUUGCUCUUUUACACUGUUGGGAAGAGUGACUGCAAAGUUGCAUUUGGUGAUGGUGGGAUGCAUGAUGGUAUUAUUAAAGCUGAAGUUCUGCAGACCACAGAUUCAGGAGAGAGAAUGGCAUUAAGAUUAAUCUUAGACCUUAAUGUAAAAUUGUCUUAUAACCUGAAAGCUUUUCUUUUCUUCCUUUUUAUUUUAUUUUAUUUUUUUUUGGUGCACAGUCUAAAUUAGGGCGCUGUUAGUAGGGGGAGGGUAAUUGCAUUUUUGGUGGAUAGUGAAUCUCAAUUCUUAUUUAUAAGAAGUCUAUUUGAUUAAGUCCUUAUAGCUUCCUUGCUCAUUCUAUUUGCUUUGCAGUAUAUUAGGGACAGUAAAGUGAUUUUACUUCAAGGGAACCUAAGGUUUUUUAUUCAGAUUAUGUCUCAGUCAUUCACAUAAUUAUCAGCCAUGAUAACACUUUUUUAUCUUUGGAGUUGUGCACAAAUACCAAGCAGAUGCAAUCUGCUUGGCCUCACCUUGCUAAAUGAUUUUAGUGAGGAGAGGAAGUAAGAAGGAGAAGGGUGGUUUUGAUGAAGGAAUCAAAGAAGUGUUGUCGUUGAUCUUGUUUGUACAAUUCAUCAGCUUUAUUCUUUCCAGGAGAGAGAUUAGUUAUACACCUGAAACUAAUAAUAAUAAUAAUAUGUUGUGUCGUCAUCAUCAUCGUCAUCAUACUAUGUCAAUUAUUGCUUCAAUAAAAAUGAUUUUUAAAAGAUAGAUCAAUAGAAUGGGCAUCCAGGUUACCAGGAUAAAAGUACCUCUUUAUUUUUAUUUUUUGUCUUUUUAGGACCGUACCCGUGGUGUAUGGAGGUUCCCAGGCUAGGGGUCAUUGGAGCUGCAGGUGCAGGCCUACACCACAGCCACAGCAACGCAGAAUCCAAGCCGUGCCUGUGACCUGUACCACAGCUCAUGGCAAUGCCGGAUCCUUAACCCACUGAGCGAGGCCAGGGAUUAAACAUGCGUCCUCAUGGAUGCUAGUCAGAUUCCUUUCCAGUAAGCCACCACGGGAACUCCAAGGAGAAACUGUUGAUAGACAAAGCACUAUGAUAAAAUGGAAUCAUUGCUGAAUUAGAUCAAGCAUGGAAGGCAAAUGGAACCACCUAUAGGGGCAGAUGAGAGAUGAGAGAAAGGCUCUUAGAGGAAGUGGCAUCUAUUUAUGCCUGAGUUAUGUGGGACAGGUAAGACCUCUGAGGAGAAAUGGGGCAGAGAGUUCAGUGGUCUAUGCAAAGGCUUCAGGGUGGGUGAAAAUAUAGUAUUGUAUAUUAUUAAUCAUUUCUUGAUGGUAGAAUGAAAGUCGGGCUGCACGAGGUGCACCCAGAAGGCCAGGCAGUGCCAGCAUUAAGAAAGACCUUCUGGAGUUUCCAUUGUGGUUCAGCAGGUUAACAAACCGACUAGUACCCGUGAGGAUGUGGGUUCAAUCCCUGACCUUGCUCAGUGUAUUAAGGAGCUGGCAUUGCCUCAAGCUGUAGUGCAGGUCACAGAUAUGGCUCGGAUCUGGUGUGGCUGUGGCAUAAGCCUGCAGCUGUAGCUCUGAUUUGACCCCUAGUCUGGGAACUUCCAUAUGCCCGGGGACCUUCUGAGUAACUCUGCACAUUUCAUCUUGACUUUCUGGGCCUUAGGAAGCGAAGAUCUGGGAUACGCAUCUGGGAAGCCUGCAGUAAGCAUCUCCAUCCAUUUUGAGAUGUCUCCCAUUGUCAAAAAUAGUAAAAUGAGAGUGAGGGAGGCUAUCUGAGAAUUGAAAAAGCUUUGAAAGCUUGCAUUUUACAAGAAUGAGUUUGCCUUCAGUAUAGAUAGGUUUGGGAGAGCAAGUACAAAGACGGGAGAGAGCCCCCAGAAGGCCUUUGCAGGAGUCAAUUUGAGGCUCUCUUGUGUGGGCCAGUGAGUCUUGAGUGGGAUGAAGAAAAAGAAAACACAGAGCAGAUUUGGUUGGUGGAGGUGGUGGAGGUGACAGCAAAGCGGCCUUCGUAGUGGUUGGCCUUACUUCCUAGGAGGAUUGCGGUAAUGGUCACGGAGGGAAAAACCAUGGGAAGAGGCUUUGGUGCUGAAGAAGCUGGCAGAUCAUGGUUAUCCAGGGUCCCAGGGAGAAACCUGGGAGAGGAGAAGGAUUUGAGAAGGAAGGUGGGCACGUGGAGCCAGUGGACCACACCAGAAGAGACCUAGAACUGAGUGACCUUGGCAGCAGAGCCAUGUUGAGGGCCCAGGGAGGUGUGGAACGUGAAUACAAGGACACCACAAGUGGAGACAACACUUUGCAGAAGCUUGUGUAGAGGAAGAUAGCAAAGGGGAUUGAGAGAUGAAUUUCCUAGUUUUGUUUUGUAACAGAGAUUUCAAGGUCUCAGCAGAAUCUUCUACGUAAACCUUCUUUAACAUUUUUGUUUUAGAACUUUCCAUGUCUUUCUAACAGGCAGUUAGCAGCCCAUUGUGGGCUUUGGGAAGGAAACAGAACAGGCACGUGGAGGCACUGCCAGCUGGGUUAUACGUGACAGCAAUUGAAGACCCACAAGCAAAAAUAACGGCCUUGUCUCGGUGGUCUCUGGCUUUGGGGGUAAAUAGCCCCACACAGUUGAAAAGGCUCCGAGGCUGCUGUGGGUAUAAAGUACGCAAUGAUUAUUGAAAGUCUGUGUCUGACAAAGAUUUCCAUCAAACUGUGAAGGCAAAACAAGUUGUGGUGCCAAAGUGGUCAAGUGGUUUUCUAGAAAAUUCACCGAAUGGCAGUAGCAUGGCCCACAAUACAGCCAUAAGAAAUACAGUCCAUUUAAAAUGUUUCUGCCCUCUUCUUGGACACCGUGUAAUUGUAUCCUUUUUAUGAAUGUCCUCCUCACCCCUGAAUUUGUGUGUGCUUUCCUAAUGGAACAUAUCUUUACACUCAGGAACCACGUUAAUUUAUGGUGUAUUUUGCUGUUCCAAGAAGUGAAAAAUGGGAGGGUAAUACGACUUCUCUUUGUUUUACUCUGAAGAGGUUUUUACCACUGGGUUCUUGACAUCUUCCACCUUAGUUUAUCUUUAAUUUAUCUUUAACUGGAACCAUUUUGUCCAUUAGCUCUAUUCUAAUUACCUCUCAAAAUGGUCAGAUUUACAGGCAACACAUGACAGAGAAAAUGCAAAAAAAAAAAAAAAAAAAA
rnacentral:lncRNA from 1 species